GGAGGAAACUCUGACCCAGCGACGCCGCGUGAGGGAUGAAGGCCUUCGGGUUGUAAACYCUUUCAGUAGGGAAGAAGCGAAAGUGACGGUACCUACAGAAGAAGCACCGGCUAACUAUGUGCCAGCAGCCGCGGUAAUACAUAGGGUGCAAGCGUUGUCCGGAAUUAUUGGGCGUAAAGAGCUCGUAGGUGGUUCGAUACGUCGGAUGUGAAAAUCAGGGGCUCAACCCCUGACCUGCAUCCGAUACGGUCGAGCUAGAGUUUGGUAGGGGAGACUGGAAUUCCUGGUGUAGCGGUGGAAUGCGCAGAUAUCAGGAGGAACACCRAUGGCGAAGGCAGGUCUCUGGGCCAAUACUGACACUGAGGAGCGAAAGCGUGGGGGAGCGAACAGGAUUAGAUACCCUGGUAGUCCACGCCGUAAACGGUGGGCGCUAGUUGUGCGAACCUUCCACGGUUUGUGCGACGCAGCUAACGCAUUAAGCGCCCCGCCUGGGGAGUACGAUCGCAAGAUUA
rnacentral:rRNA from 1 species